ACGACUCUCGGCAACGGAUAUCUCGGCUCUCACAUCGAUGAAGAACGUAGCGAAAUACGAUACUUGGUGUGAAUUGCAGAAUCCCGUGAACCAUCGAGUCUUUGAACGCAAGUUGCGCCCGAGGCCACCCGGCAGAGAACACGCCUGCCUGGGCGUCAUGUGAAUGAGUCGCUCCGGCGCGCGCGCGCGCGGCCGGACGCGGAGACUGGCCUCCCGCCACGCGGCAGGCCGAAGACCUGCGGUCGCCCUCCCCCGGAGCAGGGCGGGGCGCGAUGAUCGUUGGACCGGCCUCGCGCCGAGAUCCCGAGGUCGUCGCGCCCCCUCCGCGCAGGGUGGGGGGCAACCUGCGCCGCUAACGGAUGACAAGGGCCGCCACGAAGGGGGGGGAUGACCCCCCCUUCCGCAGGCCCUCGCGCCGCGACCCCAGGUCAGGCGGGGUCACCCGCUGAGUUUAAGCAUAUCAAUAAGCGGAGGGAAAGAAACUUACGAGGAUUCCCCUAGUAACAGUGAGUGAACCGAGAAGAGCCCAGCUUGAGAAUCGGGCGGUGACGCUGCCCGAAUUGUAGUCUGCAGAAGCGUCCUCAGCGACGGACGGGGCCCAAGUCCCCUGGAAAGCGGUGCCGGAGAGGGUGAGAGUCCCGUCGUGUCCGGACCCUGCCGCACCACGAGGCGCUGUCGGUGAGUCGGGUUGUUUGGGAAUGCAGCCCCAAUCGGGCGUUAAAUUCCGUCCAAGGCUGAAUACGGGCGACAGACUGAUAGCGAACAAGUACCGCGAGGGAAAGAUAAAAAGGACUUUGAAAAGAGAGUCAAAGAGUGCUUGAAAUUACCGGGAGGGAAGCAGAUGGGGGCCGGCGAUGCGGCCCGGCCGGAUGCGGAAUGGCGACGAGCCGGUCCGUCGCUCGCCUCGGGCUGUGGACCGAUGCGGGCCGCCCGGGCGUAUGACCCCGCCCGAGGAGACGCCGCCGGCGCGGCCGUGGACAGAGCGCGCGCCAGCCCCUUGGCGUGCCCACCCGCGGCACGGCCGUGCUCCAGGCACCGCCCCGCGGGCUCCCCAUCCGACCCGUCUUGAAACACGGACCAAGGAAUCUGACAUGAGUGCGAGCCAACGGGUGCGGAAACCCGGAAGGCGCAAGGAAACUGAAGGGCGAGAUCCCCCUCGAGGGGUGCACCGCCGACUGACCCUGAUCUUCUGUGAAGGGUUCGAGUUGGAGCAUGCCUGUCGGGACCCGAAAGAUGGUGAAGUAUGCCUGAGCGGGGUGAAGCCAGAGGAAACUCUGGUGAAGGCCCGCAGCGAUACUGACGUGCAAAUCGUUCGUCUGACUUGGGUAUAGGGACAAAAGACUAAUCGAACCAUCUAGUAGCUGGUUCCCUCCGAAGUUUCCCUCAGGAUAGCUGGAGCCCGUGUACGAGUUCUAUCGGGUAAAGCCAAUGAUUAGAGGCAUCGGGGGCGCAACGCCCUCGACCUAUUUUCAAACUUUAAGUAGGUAGGACGGCGCGGCUGCUCCGUUGAGCCGCGCCACAAAAUCGAGAGCUCCAAGUGGGCCAUUUUUGGUAAGCAGAACUGGCGAUGCGGGAUGAACCGGAAGCCGAGUUACGGUGCCCGACUGCGCGCUAACCCAGAACCCACAAAGGGUGUUGGUCGUUUAAGACAGCAGGACGGUGGUCAUGGAAGUCGAAAUCCGCUAAGGAAAGUGUAACAACUCACCUGCCGAAUCAACUAGCCCCGAAAAUGGAUGGCGCUGAAACGCAUGACCCACACCCGGCCAUCGGGGCGAGCGCCAUACCCCGAUGAGGAGAAGGGUGCGAGCCCGGGCGUAGCGGCCGCUGGUGCGGAUCUUGCAGGUAGUAGCAAAUAUUCAAAUGAGAACUUUGAAGGCCGAAGAGGGGAAAGGUUCCAUGUGAACGGCACUUGCACAUGGGUUAGCUGAUCCUAAAGAAAGGGGUGGCCCGUGAAAAUCCGGAGGACCGAGUGCCGCUCACGCCCGGUCGUACUCAUAACCUCAUCAGGUCUCCAAGGUGAACAGCCUCUGGCCGAUGGAACAAUGUAGGCAAGGGAAGUCGGCAAAACGGAUCCGUAACUUCGGGAAAAGGAUUGGCUCUGAGGGCUGGGCACGGGGGUCCACGCCCCAAACCCGUCGGCUGUCGGCGGACUGCUCGAGCUGCGUCUGUGGCGAGAGCGGGCCGCAGUGUGCCUGCUGGGGGACAGACCGGGAACGGCCCGCGCGCCGUUCCCGCGGCACGGGGGCCUUCCCCGGGCGUCGAACAGCCGACUCAGAACUGGUACAGACAAGGGGAAUCUGAUUGUUUAAUUAAAACAAAGCAUUGCGAUGGUCCCCGUAGAUGCUCACGCAAUGUGAUUUCUUCCCAGUGCUCUGAAUGUUAAAGUGAAUUCACCAAGUGUUGGAUUGUUCACCCACCAAUAGGGAACAUGAGCUGGGUUUAGACCGUCGUGAGACAUGUUAGUUUUACCCUACUGAUGACCGCGCUGCCAUAGUAAUUCAACCUAGUACGAGAGGAACCGUUGAUUCAUACAAUUGGUCAUCGCACGGAUUCGUCCCUCCGCCCCCAACACAUAAACCGCCCCGCCUAUAGCCCGGUGAGCGCUGACAAGGUUAGACUUUGUACUUGUGCAAAUCCGCGCUAUCGACGGCAAAACGGUCCGGCGCCCAUGACAUCUCUUACCAUCACUUGAAACCCUCACAACCCAGGGUGAAUAAAGUUCAGCCGAGUUUGUACGGGCGGAUCAUGACUUCUCUCGUAGAGCGCUCGUGUGAUCAGGCGAUGUCGCACUGGCGCCGGCCGUACAACGUCCCGGUGCCCACGCCGCAUGGCUUGGCAUCUAACGAAACGCCGCCGAGCAGACAUUCAGCGAGUUCGCACACGCGGAUCAUGUCAUCCGUCAGAGCGCGCCCGUGUGAUCGAGUGAUGUCGCGCCGGCGCCCCCGAGGCCGUCCGGGCGACUUCGGCGUCCCGGCCAGGCGCCCCCUCCCCAUCAUUUACCAUCACAUGAAAACCCCCCGGACAAAGUUUCACGGAUUUUGGAUGAUCGUAGCCAAUGUUCGGUAGGGGGAGUAUGCGUCGCCGUCGGGACGGCGGGUCGGUCGACUUUGGAAUCUCGCCGCGGGACCAUCGCGGACGGAUUUGUCAUCAUAAAAAACACCGAGGGGUGAAGUUUCAUAAAAAACGCACGAGUGGAUCGGGAGAUGGCACGUAGCGCGCCCGUCCCGUCGUGGGACGUCGAGCCGGCGCUGCCGGGGCCAUCCCGGCGACGGCGGCAUCCUGGCCCGGCGUCCCCGCCCCAUCGUUUGCCAUCACA
rnacentral:rRNA from 1 species